UGACGAGUGGCGGACGGGUGAGUAAUGCUUGGGAACUUGCCUUUGCGAGGGGGAUAACAGUUGGAAACGACUGCUAAUACCGCAUAAUGUCUUCGGACCAAACGGGGCUUCGGCUCCGGCGCAAAGAGAGGCCCAAGUGAGAUUAGCUAGUUGGUAAGGUAACGGCUUACCAAGGCGACGAUCUCUAGCUGUUCUGAGAGGAAGAUCAGCCACACUGGGACUGAGACACGGCCCAGACUCCUACGGGAGGCAGCAGUGGGGAAUAUUGCACAAUGGGGGAAACCCUGAUGCAGCCAUGCCGCGUGGGUGAAGAAGGCCUUCGGGUUGUAAAGCACUUUCAGUUGUGAGGAAAAGUUAGUAGUUAAUACCUGCUAGCCGUGACGUUAACAACAGAAGAAGCACCGGCUAACUCCGUGCCAGCAGCCGCGGUAAUACGGAGGGUGCGAGCGUUAAUCGGAAUUACUGGGCGUAAAGCGCACGCAGGCGGUUUGUUAAGCUAGAUGUGAAAGCCCCGGGCUCAACCUGGGAUGGUCAUUUAGAACUGGCAGACUAAAGUCUUGGAGAGGGGAGUGGAAUUCCAGGUGUAGCGGUGAAAUGCGUAGAUAUCUGGAGGAACAUCAGUGGCGAAGGCGACUCCCUGGCCAAAGACUGACGCUCAUGUGCGAAAGUGUGGGUAGCGAACAGGAUUAGAUACCCUGGUAGUCCACACCGUAAACGCUGUCUACUAGCUGUGUGUGCCUUUAAGGCGUGCGUAGCGAAGCUAACGCGCUAAGUAGACCGCCUGGGG
rnacentral:rRNA from 1 species